GACGAACGCUGGCGGCAGGCUUAACACAUGCAAGUCGAGCGAGCGGCGGACGGGUGAGUAAUGUCUGGGAAACUGCCUGAUGGAUGGGGAUAACUACUGGAAACGGUAGCUAAUACCGCAUACCAUCAGAUGUGCCCAGAUGGGAUUAGCUAGGAGGUGGGGUAAUGGCUCACCUAGGCAACGAUCCCUAGCUGGUCUGAGAGGAUGACCAGCCACGCUGGAACGUAGACACGGUCCAGCCUCCUACGGGAGGCAGAAGUGGGGACUAUUGCACAAUGGGCGCAAGCCUGAUGCAGCCAUGCCGCGGGUGUGAAGAAGGCCUUCGUGUUGUAAAGCACUUUCAGCGAGGAGGCGUUACUCGCAGAAGAAGCACCGGCUAACUCCGUGCCAGCAGCCGCGGUAAUUC
rnacentral:rRNA from 1 species